ACUCGAGUGGCGAGCGGGUGAGUAACACGUGGGUGAUCUGCCCUGCACUUCGGGAUAAGCCUGGGAAACUGGGUCUAAUACCGGAUAGGAGCCAUUUUUAGUGUGAUGGUUGGAAAGUUUUUCGGUGUAGGAUGAGCUCGCGGCCUAUCAGCUUGUUGGUGGGGUAAUGGCCUACCAAGGCGGCGACGGGUAGCCGGCCUGAGAGGGCGGACGGCCACAUUGGGACUGAGAUACGGCCCAG
rnacentral:rRNA from 1 species